GAGUCAUGUCAAAGUUUGUGGGGUUAACCUGCACCCAGUGACAGUCAUGGCGAAGUUUGUGAGGUUAACUCGCACCCAGUAACGCUGUUCCAAUGCAAGGUGUGUAUUUGGUGUCAUCCACGGGAAGAGGAAACAGCAAAUUUUCUCAUGGCCUUGGCAGUUCCACAUGAUGGACAUUUCAUAUCUGCAGUUUUCUUCGCAUGAGAUGGCUUUUUUGCACAAAAACACUGGAAUCCAGUGAGCAAGAAUGAUAGAAUGCAAGAUGGAUUUCCACAUGAGGAAGUGUCACGAACAAGCGUUUUGCAUCUCUGUCAGCUGGAUUCCCCCAUGUGUACGUAUGUGAGAACAUGCCGUGUUUCCUGUCUGUAAUGGUAGAGGCAGCCCUGAUACUGGAUUUUCACCUGAGGAUGGAUAGAUCUUCAGGGUUCAAGUGGGUUUGCAUCUGGACUUUAGGGUGGCCCUGUAGGCCCUGUGUGAGAAGCCCCCUUCCCAGUGAACUUUCCCUUGUGUGCCCGCGUGGACAGCCAACAGGGGGAGCAGUGCGAGCGUGAAGGCAGACAGUGGCCUGGCCCAGUCUGAUGGGAGAGACCCACCGACCCUGUGGGGCUGGUCCCUACAUCUGGCGCUCUGACGUGGGGCUCUCCCUCGCUGUGUGAAGUUGCACCCUGAGUGCGGGAUCAGCGGAGGAGUUCAACGAGAGAUUCCUGAGGAUUGCAGUCUAUAAACUUGGUGUCUGCAGAUGCCUCUAAGGAGUCCGAAACCAAGUCCGAAGUCAACAACAAGCAAUGAUGGCGAUGGCGAUUCUAGUUAAUAAAAAGGGGGGAGAUGUGGGCGGCAAGCCACCCAGGCACCGAGGCAAGAGACAGAGGACACGAGCUGUUCCAGUAUAAUAAAAUAUAAAACAAGAAUAGUUAUACCAGAUAUAGAUCUUAGAUAUGAUUAUAUACGAAUAUCAUUAAUCAUGAGUUUGUAGCAAUUACUUUUUAUUCCAAUAUUAUGAUAAUCCUCGCUCUAUAAUCAUAGCCUAGGAAAAACCAGGCCAUACAGAGAUAGGAGCUGAGGGGACAUAGUGAAGUGUGACCAGAAGACAAGAGUGCGAGCCUUCUGUUAUGCCCGGACAGGGCCACCAGAGGGCUCCUUGGUCUAGCGGUGACGCCAGCGUCUGGGAAGACACCCGUUACCAGGCGGAUCGUGGCCCAGCCGUAGCAAAAGGUGUCAAGGAACACCUUUUGCAAAAGGUGUCAACACCCGCUACUUAGCAGACUGGGAAAGGGGGGCGGUCUCCCUUUCCCCGGGGGAGUUUAGAGAAGACUCUGUUCCUCCACCUCUUGUGGAGGGCCUGACAUCAGUCAGGCUUGCCCGUAGUUAUCCGGAGGCCUAACUGUCUCCCUGUGAUGCUGUGCUUCAGUGGUCACGCUCCUAGUCUGCCUUCAUUUUCCAUCCUGUACACCUGGCUCUGCCUUCUAGAUAGCAGUAGUAAAUUAGUGAAAAUACUAAUAGUCCCUGAUAUGCAGAAAUAAUGGCAUAAGCUGUCUUUCUCUCUGUCUCCUCUCCCUCUCUGCCUCGGCUGCCAGGCAGGGAAGGGCCCCCUGUCCAGUGGACACAUGACCCAUGUGACCUUACCUAUCAUUGGAGGUGACUCACAUUCUUUACCCUGCCCCUUCUGCCUUGUAUCCAAUAACAGCGCAGUCAGACAUUCAGGGCCACUACCGGUCUCCGCACAUUGGUGGUAGUGGUCCCCCGGGCCCAGCUGCCUUUUCUCU
ensembl:lncRNA ERVK13-1 endogenous retrovirus group K13 member 1